rnacentral:rRNA from 1 species
UUAAAGACUGUUCUCAGUUCGGACUGCAGUCUGCAACUCGACUGCACGAAGCUGGAAUCGCUAGUAAUCGCGGAUCAGCACGCCGCGGUGAAUACGUUCCCGGGCCUUGUACACACCGCCCGUCACACCAUGGAAGUCUGCAAUGCCCGAAGCCGGUGGCCUAACCACUUAUGUGGAAGGAGCCGUCUAAGGCAGGGCAGAUGACUGGGGUGAAGUCGUAACAAGGUACC